rnacentral:rRNA from 1 species
AUUGAACGCUGGCGGCAGGCCUAACACAUGCAAGUCGAACGGUAGCACAGAGAGCUUGCUCUCGGGUGACGAGUGGCGGACGGGUGAGUAACGUCUGGGAAACUGCCCGACGGAGGGAGAUAACUACUGGAAACGGUAGCUAAUACCGCAUAACGUCGCAAGACCAAAGUGGGGGACCUUCGGGCCUCACACCAGCGGCUGUGCCCAGAUGUGAUUAGCUAGUAGGUGGGGUAAUGGCUCACCUAGGCGACGAUCCCUGGCUGGUCUGAGAGGAUGACCAGCCACACUGGAACUGGGACACGGUCCAGACUCCUACGGGAGGCAGCAGUGGGGAAUAUUGCACAAUGGGCGCAAGCCUGAUGCAGCCAUGCCGCGUGUAUGAAGAAGGCCUUCGGGUUGUAAAGUACUUUCAGCGGGGAGGAAGGCGGUGGAGUUAAUAACUUCACCGAUUGACGUUACCCGCAGAAGAAGCACCGGCUAACUCCGUGCCAGCAGCAGCCGCGG